rnacentral:lncRNA from 1 species
GUGGGUACAGCCGAAGGAGCCAUCCGGCCUGCUGCUGGAGGCAAAGGGGACUCACCGAGACGUGGUCGUAAGUCGACUUCACGGCUGAGCCUGACUCUGGAAUGGCUGGCUCCAGAAAUGAGUGGGGUCACUGGGGACCUCAGCUUGGUGUCCCCAUAUUCCUGCAUGAGGAAGAUGGCCAGAGGAUAGGGGAGGAGGACAAGGCAAUGCUUCUGGAAAUUUAAGACGCCAAGUUCCAGCCCCGGUGCCUCCCUCUCCAAUGUUGUCCUGGUCACCUCUGGAGGCGGGACCCGGCAGCUCUGAGGAGCCCCCUGGUGGCCCAAGCAGUUGCUGCGGCCACACAGGCCAAGGCGCGCUCUCUCCUGGGCAUCCACAGACAUAGGACCUUUCUCAGGGCCCCAGACCUUGUGCCAGGCACUUCGCUGGGUGCCACCAGGGAAACAUCAUCUUCCAACAGCCCUGUGAGGUGGGCGUUACCCCGAUUUAUAGAUGUGAACGCCUGGAGGGGCCUGUCCUGUAUCAUCAGGCUGCUGCUGCAAAUCCACUGUUGGGGAAAGAAGCCAGAGGCAGAGCAUGAACAACAAUGACAUGAAGGCGUAUUUAUUUUUCAAAUAAUGAUCGAGCACGCUGGUGCAUGCACAAACUCUGGAGGACCAUGCAAGUACCUGGCAUGGCCAGGGGCUUCUGGAAGGAGAGCUGGGGGGCUGGGGUAUAGAGUGGGAACAAACCAUUUUCACUGGGCUUAGUUUUGUGCUUUUUGAUUUUUGAACUAUAUAGAAGUAUUGCCUAUACUUAAAAAUUCAUGAAAGACGUAAACAUUUGUGGAUAUUGAAUGACAGGAAGAAACUUGGAAGUGACUGACUCUUCCCCCAGGUCCAGCAGCAUGGACAGGAAGCUGCUCAGCAACUACUUGCAUGCCUCCAGUGAUGGGCUGCUUACCCCUUACUUGGCCAACUCCCAGUCUGGAAAGAUCCUCUCUCCAUGGGCUGAAACUUCUCUUCCUGGUCAAAACUCCUUCUUCCGGGAUGACUUUUGGGUGCUGCCCAGUUCAUGCAAACAGUAGAAUGCCCAGCAUGUGUCAGACGCUGUACCCCGGGGGUUCAACAGCCAGGAUCCCUGCCCUCAGAGGUGAGUCUAUUAGGGACUAGAGAACGAAACUUCUAUUACGGAUGCUUGCUGUGUCUGAAACUAACAUAGCUACUUGGGUUUCUUUGGAUUUUUUUUUUAAGAUUUUAUUUAUUUAUUAUUAUUUAAGAUUUUAUUUAUUCAUUCUUGAGAGACAGAGAGAGAGAGGCAGAGACAUAGGCAGAGGGAGAAGCAGGCUCCAUGCA